CGCAUCUGUGCAUGCAGCAUAUCAAUAAGCGGAGGAAAAGAAACUAACAAGGAUUCCCCUAGUAACGGCGAGUGGAGCGGGAAGAGCUCAAAUUUGAAAUCUUAAAGGGUUUCCCUUUACGAAUUGUAGUUUAAGGAAGUGUUUUCUGUUGAGGUUUUGGUAAAAGUUCUUUGGAAUAGGACAUCAUAGAGGGUGAGAAUCCCGUAUUUGACCUUUACUUUCAACUUUGUGAUACACUUUCAAAGAGUCGGAUUGUUUGGGAAUGCAGUCCAAAAUGGGUGGUAAAUUUCAUCUAAAGCUAAAUAUUGGCGAGAGACCGAUAGCGAACAAGUACCGUGAGGGAAAGAUGAAAAGAACUUUGAAAAGAGAGUUAAACAGUACGUGAAAUUGUCAAAAGGGAAGCGUUUGACACCAGUGUUGUUUUUCUGAAAAUCAAUUAAAGAACUGUUUAUGCUAAGCUGUUUAGACUUUAUCAGCUAACUGUUUAGUUUUGAGCUUUUCUUUAAUGCACUUUUCAGUUAACAAGUCAACAUCAAUUUCUUUUGCUGUAAAAAAGCUUGAGGAAGGUGGCUUGAGAUUCGUCUUAAGUGUUUAUAGCCUCUUGCCUAUGCAGUCGGAGAGAUUGAGGUCUGCAGCGUAGAUCCUUCGGGGCUAAAUGCAUUUGUGCUAAGUUAUAGCAUUUUAUAGACAACUUGUUGACUAUGAUUUGUCUUGUAGCUUACUCGCUUAUGUUAUUUUACCUACGCUUAGGAUGUUGAGUCAUCACACAUCUCU
rnacentral:rRNA from 1 species